rnacentral:rRNA from 1 species
UACGUAGGGUCCGAGCGUUGUCCGGAAUUAUUGGGCGUAAAGAGCUCGUAGGCGGUUCGGUAAGUCGGGUGUGAAAACUUUGGGCUCAACCCAAAGCCUGCACUCGAUACUGCUGUGACUUGAGUCCGGUAGGGGAGUGGGGAAUUCCUGGUGUAGCGGUGGAAUGCGCAGAUAUCAGGAGGAACACCGGUGGCGAAGGCGCCACUCUGGGCCGGUACUGACGCUGAGGAGCGAAAGCGUGGGGAGCGAACAGG